CCUGGGGGAGCGUUUUGUCCACAUCAACGCAAAGUACUUCCUUGAGGGCGCGCUUUGCGCUGACGUGGACAAAACGUUCCCUUAGGG
rfam:Gossypium arboreum cultivar AKA8401 contig_25552_1, whole genome shotgun sequence.